rnacentral:rRNA from 1 species
GGAUUAGGCAUGCAAGUCGCACGAGAAAGUUUCCUUCGGGGAACCGGUAAAGUGGCGAAAGGGUGAAUAAUGCGUAGGCAACCUGCCCUCGAGAUGGGAAUAACCAUUCGAAAGGAUGGCUAAUACCCAAUAUGGCCGUGGAUCGCAUGUUCUACGGUUAAAGGUAGCUCUGCUUCCACUCGAGGAGGGGCCUACGUCCUAUUAGCUUGUUGGUGAGGUAACGGCUCACCAAGGCUGUGAUGGGUAGCCGACCUGAGAGGGUGACCGGCCACACUGGGACUGAGACACUGCCCAGACUCCUACGGGAGGCUGCAGUCGAGAAUCUUCCGCAAUGCGCGAAAGCGUGACGGAGCGACGCCGCGUGAGGGAUGAAGGCCUUCGGGUUGUAAACCUCUGUCACCUGGGACGAAAGCUGCGUGGUUAAUAGCUAUCGCAGUUGACGCUACCAGGGGAGGAAGCGCCGGCUAAAUACGUGCCAGCAGCCGCGGUAAUACGUAUGGCGCAAACGUUGUUCGGAAUCACUGGGCUUAAAGAGCACGUAGGCGGUUGAGAAAGUCUGAUGUGAAAUCCCCCGGCUCAACCGGGGAACUGCAUUGGAAACUACUCAGCUAGAGUACGGAAGGGGAGAGUGGAAUUCCUGGUGGAGCGGUGAAAUGCGUAGAUAUCAGGAGGAACGCCGGAGGCGAAAGCGACUCUCUGGUCCGUUACUGACACUGAGGUGCGAAAGCUAGGGGAGCGAACGGGAUUAGAUACCCCGGUAGUCCUAGCCCUAAACGAUGGGCACUAAGUAGAGGGGUUUU